UAGGGAAUCUUCGGCAAUGGGGGGAACCCUGACCGAGCAACGCCGCGUGAGUGAAGAAGGUUUUCGGAUCGUAAAGCUCUGUUGUUAAGGAAGAACGAGUGUGAGAAUGGAAAGUUCAUACUGUGACGGUACUUAACCAGAAAGGGACGGCUAACUACGUGCCAGCAGCCGCGGUAAUACGUAGGUCCCGAGCGUUGUCCGGAUUUAUUGGGCGUAAAGCGAGCGCAGGCGGUUAGAUAAGUCUGAAGUUAAAGGCAGUGGCUCAACCAUUGUAGGCUUUGGAAACUGUUUAACUUUAGUGCAGAAGGGGAGAGUGGAAUUCCAUGUGUAGCGGUGAAAUGCGUAGAUAUAUGGAGGAACACCGGUGGCGAAAGCGGCUCUCUGGUCUGUAACUGACGCUGAGGCUCGAAAGCGUGGGGAGCGAACAGG
rnacentral:rRNA from 1 species